UACGUAGGGUGCGAGCGUUGUCCGGAAUUAUUGGGCGUAAAGGGCUCGUAGGCGGUCUGUCGCGUCGAAAGUGAAAACCCAGGGCUUAACCCUGGGCCUGCUUCCGAUACGGGCAGACUAGAGGUAUGCAGGGGAGAACGGAAUUCCUGGUGUAGCGGUGAAAUGCGUAGAUAUCAGGAGGAACACCUGCGGUGUAGACGGCUUACUGGACCGUAACUGACGCUGAGGCACGAAAGCGUGGGUAGCAAACAGG
rnacentral:rRNA from 1 species